UACGUAGGGUCCAAGCGUUGUCCGGAAUUAUUGGGCGUAAAGAGCUCGUAGGCGGUCCGUUAAGUCGGAAGUGAAAUCUCAAGGCUCAACCUUGAAAUCGCUUUCGAUACUGGCGGACUUGAGGCAGGUAGGGGAAGGUGGAAUUCCUGGUGUAGCGGUGAAAUGCGCAGAUAUCAGGAGGAACACCGGUGGCGAAGGCGGGUCUCUGGGCCGAUACUGACGCUGAGGAGCGAAAGCGUGGGGAGCGAACAGG
rnacentral:rRNA from 1 species